UUUCUCCGCAGUGGGUACAGCCUGAGGAUGAAGGAACAGGUUCAGCUGUAAAGAAUGUGAAGCUCUCCCCUCAAAGGGAAGGAGUUCUCAUUUUUUAGCAAGGAGUCUUGAGCUGCCAUGUUAAGAAGUCGGGAUACCUUGCAGGAAAGGCCUCUUGGAGAGGGAGCUGCCCAGCAGUCCCAGAGUUGACAACAGACCAGCUGAGCACUGACUGUAGUCACAGGAAAGGUCCCCUCUGUGUUUAAUAUUUUGUGGACCAGAAGAACCAUCUGUCCAGCUGAGCCCUAGUCAACCCACAAAAGGCCAGAAUCUUACGUUCCACCAACGUGACGGUAUCUCUGGACUUCCCCUUUUGCAAGAUGCAGACAAAAGUACAGAGUGAAAGGCUGAGCUGAUCACAGCAUGAAUGUGGAUGGAAGGUCUCCAAUAUCUCUUACAACCUGGAAGGGUCACUUCCCUAUCUGUGCCUCUCUUGAGUCAGUUGUUGGCUUUUACUAAAGCAAAACCUCUACUUUUUAAGGUUAUUAAUCCCUCCCAAACCUAAAAGUAAUUAGUGUGAACUGUUCUAAAAAUAUUUGAGAAUCUGUAAUUAAACUCAGACCAAAGUUUCCAUUCUAUACUUAUACAAAUGCGUAAGAUUUGACAAAGUACAUGAUUUCGUCUACUAACCCAGAGGGGACUGGCGGGUAUAUAGCAGCACCUAUCCAAUUCCAGUUUAGAGGAAUGACAAUGUCUGAGAUUCUAGUGAAAAACAUUUCAUGGCAUUCAGUCCUCAAACCUUCUGGCAAAAUCUUCUGUUCCUUUACAAGAACGUCCUGCUUUCUCCUAUUGGAUUUGUAAGGAAUUUGCAUUGAAAUGAGGGAUGGUUUUUAAGGCCAUGUAUGCAUAUCCCGAUUGGCAAACCAUCCUUUAUUUAAUCAGUGACACCUCUUUAUAUCACGGGUGUCAGUGAACAAGGCAGACUCCCCACUCACUGUUGUGUGGGAGAACGUUGUCAGAGGCUUUCCCAGUACACAGCUAGAGCUCAGUGACACAGUCUGAUCUGCAUAACCUAAAU